rnacentral:rRNA from 1 species
AUUAGCUGGUUGGUGAGGUAACGGCUCACCAAGGCAACGAUGUCUAGGGGUCCUGAGAGGGUUAUCCCCCACACUGGUACUGAGACACGGACCAGACUCCUACGGGAGGCAGCAGUAAGGAAUAUUGGUCAAUGGGCGCAAGCCUGAACCAGCCAUGCCGCGUGCAGGAAGACGGCCCUAUGGGUUGUAAACUGCUUUUAUCAGGGAAUAAACCCCCGCUCGUGAGCGGGGCUGAAGGUACCUGAGGAAUAAGCAUCGGCUAACUCCGUGCCAGCAGCCGCGGUAAUACGGAGGAUGCAAGCGUUAUCCGGAUUCAUUGGGUUUAAAGGGUGCGCAGGCGGAUUGGUAAGUCAGGGGUGAAAUCCCACAGCUCAACUGUGGAACUGCCUUUGAUACUGUCAGUCUAGAGUAUAGUUGAAGUUGGCGGAAUGUGUCAUGUAGCGGUGAAAUGCUUAGAUAUGACACAGAACACCGAUCGCGAAGGCAGCUAGCUAAGCUAUAACUGACGCUCAUGCACGAAAGCGUGGGGAUCAAACAGGAUUAGAUACCCUGGUAGUCCACGCUGUAAAC